CCUACAAAUCCUCUCUCUGGCCAGUCUGCCAAUAUCCUUUGCUGGGUCAGAGAUCUGAAGACCCAGUGGGGCCACCAGCUGCCCCUGCUUGGGGAAGUCAGAGGAGUUCCAAUGCAAGGAAGAUAAGAGGGCAACCUAUCAAAGUAUCCACCUCAUCUUCCCAGCCUCCCUUGGGCAGAAGUCUUUCUUUGAGUCUUGCUGCAACAUGCACUGGAGGAGAGAGCUAAAAGCCUAAUUCUCUAAAAGAUUCCAGAGGAAAGAGACCAGGCAGAGCUCUCCAAGAAGGCCACCUUCGCCAGUACCUUGUGAGGGACGCCAGCACGUGGCUCUUGGCUGGGCAGGGAGGGGAAGAAGUGGAUGGAGCUGGAAUAGGGUACUCUGAUGGUGAGCUGCCUUCGGUGCAUGUGGAGAAAUCACAUAGCCUUCAGCCUCAGAGCAUUUCAGUGCUGAUUGGCUAAACAGGAUUCAUUUUUGAGCAUGGACAAAAUCAAAAGGAUGUGGAGAAGGAAGGCUUCCUAGAUGGCUCCACUACCAAAUGAAGGCACCCCUGCCUUCCCCUACUACAGAGCAGCCCCUCUCCCACUGCUGGAAGGAAAGACUCUUGCCUGAGGCAAGAACUGGAGGUCUCUGCCUUUCUGGAAAGGAAGGAGAUCAUGUCCCAGAGCUCACACUGAAGGCAAUAGGAACACAUCUUGGAUAAAGUGCACGUGGUACAGGACUCCACCACAGAACUGUCACUGGGAUCCUGAAAAUUUGAAAAAUAAGCAAAUCAGCUUAAUAAUAUGGCUUUCCCUUGGUGCCUCAUCUCCUGAAGGUCUCUCCCCACCUUCUUCCUGUCUGAAGAAACUGAAACUGGAAGGCUUCAUAACCCUGCCGUUCUCAUACAGCCAUUUUUACCUUCCUACCAGCAGGCAGUACAGUGACUGCUUGAAGUUUAAAACACUUUGUCAUUGUCCCUUAAAAAUGGAAAUAGUACUGCUGCUUAGUUGCUGGGCAUUCCAUAAUUUAUGGCCGCUGAGAAUGCAAAAUGAUUGGUAUGUCUGGGUGACAGUCAGGAGCUAUGGAAAGGAUGAAGUAUUCCACAUAUUUCCUCUCCCCAUAAAGUUGGAAAAUAAAUUCAUUACUAGUUUCAGCCUGUGAACAUGGCCGUUAUCAGUGGAUUGAGCUAUUUUUAAAAGAUUUAUGGCUGAUGUCAGUGACCUGGUUUUCCCUAAUUUGGCAAGACCCUCCUAGAAAACAUGUUGUUACUAGGAAAGUCAAAGCAAGAUUAUCACUUGACAAAUUGAGGCUAAAUCCUCUGCUGCAAAUCAGUAAGGUUCCUUUGAACUCAAUGGAUCUGAUUUACACCAGCUGAGGGCUUGGUUGGACAGGAAAUAAAAAUACAAAAAUGGAGGCA
rnacentral:lncRNA from 1 species